AAGAAGAUCUACUUUUAAAAAGUUCAGCCAAUCACAACAAAGACUGCAUAAUAUAAAUAAUUAUAAAAUAUUAAAAUAAUAUAUAAUUUGCAUAGGAAUUUGAAAACGACUUAUAUUGAGUGUGAUCGUUUGAAUGUCCGAGGAAGCGAGGAUGAUCACAAUAACUCACUCAUGACCCGCACCUAAGAAAUUCCCCCGUUGCUGCAAAUACCGUAAGAUACAACAGAAGUUGAGAAAUUGGAGCGAGAUAUAACCGGAGAUGAACAUUUGGAAUUUGCUGUCUUAGUGUUUUUACGGAUUCUUCACG
rnacentral:lncRNA from 1 species